rnacentral:rRNA from 1 species
CAUACCACCUUGAACGCGCCCGAUCUCAUCUGAUCUCGGAAGCUAAGCAGGGUCGGGCCUGGUGAGUACUUGGAGGGAGGGAAAAAAAUCACUACUUGAACUCUGGUU